rnacentral:rRNA from 1 species
CACGUAGGGUGCGAGCGUUGUCCGGAUUAUUGGGCGUAAAGAGCGUGUAGGCGGCCAGGUAGGUCUGCUGUGAAAACUCGAGGCUUAACCUCGAGCUGUCGGCGGAAACCAUCUGGCUAGAGUCCGGAAGAGGAGAAUGGAAUUCCCGGUGUAGCGGUGAAAUGCGCAGAUAUCGGGAAGAACACCCGUGGCGAAGGCGGUUCUCUGGGACGGUACUGACGCUGAGGUGCGAAAGCGUGGGGGAGCAAAC